GAGUGACCACCGGAGUGACCACAGGGUUGACCACUGGGAUGACCACAGGAGUGACCACCUGAAUGACCACGGGAGUGACCACCUGAGUGACCACCCAAAUAACCCCCGGAGUGACCCCGAGAGCGACCCCGCGAGCGACCAGGAGCGGGGCCAGGAGCUGUGGCUGGCCGAGCUCGUCGUCCACCCGCGCUUCCGGGGGGUCCGGGGGGGUCACGACCUGGCGCUGGCCCGGCUGCGGCCGCCGGCCCGGCCGGGACCCCUCGUGGGCACCGUCUGCCUGCCCCUCCCCCGCCAGCGGCCGCCCUUCGGCCGCGGCUGCUGGGUCAGCGGCUGGGGCCACGUGGCCGAGAACGGUGAGUGACCGCCCGAAAAUGGGGAGGGGUCAGCCCGGAACGGCCGGAAAGGGGGAGGUACGGGGAGAAAAGGGGGAAAGUCGGGGUGAAAAGGGGGAAAUCCGGACUGAAAAUGGGAAAAUUUGGCCUGAAAAACCCAAAAAUGGGAAAAUUCAGACCGAAAAUGGGAAGAUUUGGCCUGAAAAUGGGAAAAUUCGGCCUGAAAAACCCAAAAAUGGGAAAAUUCAGACCGAAAAUGGGAAGAUUUGGCCUGAAAAUGGGAAAAUUCGGCCUGAAAAACCCAAAAAUGGGAAAAUUCGGCCUGAAAAUGGGAAAAUUUGGCCUGAAAAACUCAAAAAUGGGAAAAUUCGGACCGAAAAUGGGAAAAUUUGGCCUGAAAAACCCAAAAAUGGGAAAAUUCGGCCUGAAAAUGGGAAAAUUUGGCCUGAAAAACCCAAAAAUGGGAAAAUUCGGCGCAAAAAUGGGGAAAUUCGGACUGAAAAGGAGAAAAUUCGGGGCAAAAAUGGGAAAAUUCGGCCCAAAAUAGGGAAAAUUCGGCAUGAAAAACCCAAAAAUGGGAAAAGUCGGAGAGAAAAGGGGGAAAUUCGGGCAAAAAUGGGGAAAUUUGGCGCAAAAAUGGGGAAUUUGGCACAAAAAUGGGGAAAGUCGGGGCAAAAAUGGGGAAAGUCGGAGAGAAAAGGGGGAAAUUCGGGGCAAAAAUGGGAAAAUCCAGCCUGAAAAACCCAAAAAUGGGAAAAUUCAGACUGAAAAGGGGAAAAUUCAGGGCA
rnacentral:lncRNA from 1 species